UACACUCCUGCGGGAGGCAGCAGUGGGGAAUAUUGCACAAUGGGCGCAAGCCUGAUGCAGCCAUGCCGCGUGUAUGAAGAAGGCCUUCGGGUUGUAAAGUACUUUCAGCGGGGAGGAAGGCGAUAAGGUUAAUAACCUUGUUGAUUGACGUUACCCGCAGAAGAAGCACCGGCUAACUCCGUGCCAGCAGCCGCGGUAAUACGGAGGGUGCAAGCGUUAAUCGGAAUUACUGGGCGUAAAGCGCACGCAGGCGGUCUGUCAAGUCGGAUGUGAAAUCCCCGGGCUCAACCUGGGAACUGCAUUCGAAACUGGCAGGCUAGAGUCUUGUAGAGGGGGGUAGAAUUCCAGGUGUAGCGGUGAAAUGCGUAGAGAUCUGGAGGAAUACCGGUGGCGAAGGCGGCCCCCUGGACAAAGACUGACGCUCAGGUGCGAAAGCGUGGGGAGCAAACAGGAUUAGAAACCCGAGUAGUCCCAU
rnacentral:rRNA from 1 species